AUUCCAGCUCCAAUAGCGUACAUUAAAGUUGUUGUGGUUAAAAAGCUCGUAGUUGGAUUUCGGCAGGUAUUGGUUGGUUUGAAUUGCUUCAACACUGACUUUUUUACCCGUGUGUUUUGCCAGAAUUUAGCGGGUGAUCUUCGCCGAUUGUCCGUUGGAACUGGUAGGUUUACUUUGAAAAAAUUAGAGUGCUCAAAGCAAGCUUACUGCUUGAAUAGUUGCGCAUGGAAUAAUAGAAUAGGAAGUCGUUUCUAUUUUGUUGGUUUUCGGAAAUCGACUUAAUGAUUAAUAGGGAUAGUCGGGGGCAUUCGUAUUCAAACGACAGAGGUGAAAUUCUUGGACCGUUUGAAGACGAACUAAGGCGAAAGCAUUUGCCAAGAAUGUUUUCAUCA
rnacentral:rRNA from 1 species